CAGAGAUCCCUGAUACAGACUUGCAUGAUACAGACUUGCAUGAGAUGUUGUGGGCUCUAGACCUCAAGCUGGACUCGUGAAGGACACUGCGGUGGGAUCGAGGCCCUCAGCUGCAUUCUGUGGGUCUCUAGUGUAAUGGGAAGCUCUUUGAAGAUGAGGAUUUUUUGUUUGCCUUGUUCAGUGCUAUUUACUUUUGUAAUGCCUCCCCGCACCUUUUUUGAUACAUCUGCUCUCCCCUGGAAAGGGCCCAAAGGAAAACUCCGUCUUUAGGGGAGAAUAAACGAGACAGUAAGGCCAAGGUUGCAUUUCCUGGUUCACUUGUUUUGAAGGAGUGACAUACAGGAGCUCCGAGGGGUGCUGAGGAGUGACGCCUCAGCAGCGCAUGCAAUGCAACUUGGUCUGAGGGAGCAACAGAAGGAAUUUCCAUUUCUUCCUCCUCUUCCCCUGGCCGGAGCACGGAUAUGGUGGAAGCGUCCUGGACCACAGAGGCCAGGGUGAUUGCCAUUGCUAAAGCAGUCUGAGUACCUGAUGCUAGGAAGCCUCACUACCAGCCUAAAUGGGUUAUGCUUAACUUGCUGUGGAAGAAAGAAAAAAAAAUUAUUUUGAGACUAGGUCUCACUGUGUAUGAUAAGCCCCUGGCUUAUAAAGGAGUUAUGUUCUGGGGAAAUAUAAGUUGGAUUCAUUCAUAAGUCCCACAAA